ACGUAGGGUCCAAGCGUUAUCCGGAAUUACUGGGCGUAAAGAGUUGCGUAGGUGGCAUGGUAAGCGAGUAGUGAAAUGACGAGGCUCAACCUUGUGUCCAUUAUUUGAACUGCCAAGCUAGAGAAUGAGAGAGGUCACUGGAAUUCCCUGUGUAGGAGUGAAAUCCGUAGAUAUAGGGAGGAACACCGAUGGCGUAGGCAGGUGACUGGCUCAUUUCUGACACUAAGGCACGAAAGCGUGGGUAGCAAACGGGA
rnacentral:rRNA from 1 species